GUGUUGGUGAUGAAGAAGCUCAAACUCACGACAACAAUGGAGGACAAAGGAAAGACAUAGUUUCAAAGUGUGAAGUGAACAAGGUUCAGACACAUUUUAUUUCCUUUUAGACUUGUGCAUCACAACCGUCCAUCACAAGACAAUAAAAUUAAAUCAAAGACCGUUGGUUCAAAGUUUGAUUGAGACACCUGGAUGAGCUGACUCAUCAUUUUGGAAGCUUCCACAAUAUUGAUAUUUCAAAUUAUCUGAUUUCUCUAUUUUUGUAUAAAUUAAAAUUCUAUAUUAUCUAUAGGCUAGACAAAUAGGAUUUGUACAAGUGUCCUAGGCAUAACAGAUUUUGAUUCCUUUUUUACUGUAUUUAUACAUGUACAGCUUGAGAAGAAAUACACAGUGAGAAUUUCACAAUUCCUAUCGUUUUUUUUCUUCCAAGAUGGUAUCAAAGCAAUAGAUCCCUCACUAAUUUUUCGUUGCUCCUCUUUCUCUAAUUUCCUUUCACCAUGGUGAAUACUCAACCAUCUGAUACCCCUGUUGCUUCUCCUGUUGAUCUCCCAGGAACUCAGCCUCUUCCUCCUCCUCAAACCUCCAGCAACAAUGACCAUUCUCAUCCCUUUUACCUGCAUCCUUCAGAUUCCCCUGGGAUGCUCUUGGUGAAUUCUACCUUCAAUGGUAAUGGCUAUGGAGCAUGGAGAAGGGCCAUGUUCAUAGCUCUUUCAGCUAAGAAUAAAAUCGGCUUGAUUGAUGGCACCUUCUUAGAACCUCAGAUCUAUGCCCCUCUUUAUACUGCUUGGAGUCGCUGUAAUGACAUGGUGAUUUCUUGGCUGCUCAACUCCUUGUCUAAGGAAAUUGCUGAAAGCGUUCUCUAUUCCAGAACUUCUAGAAACAUCUGGCAAGAAUUAGAGGACAGAUUUGGUCAAAGCAAUGGGGCUAUGCUCUAUCAACUUCAAAAGGAACUUAGUGAUCUCACUCAAGGUAAUUCUGAUGUUGCAGGGUAUUUUACUAAGGUAAAGAGAAUUGGGAUGAGUUAGACAGUCUAGAUACCUGCAAUCACUGCUCUUGUGAAUGUUCUUGUGGAGGAAAGGACAAAACCCUGAAGUCACACCAAGUGGGUAGGCUCAUUCAGUUCCUCAUGGGCUUGAAUGACACUUACUCAGGUGUUAGGAGCAACAUCCUAAUGUCCACUCCUCUGCCAAGCAUCAAUCAUGCUUACUCACUCCUGAUCCAGGAUGAGAAACAAAGGGAGAUACGAGUUUCUCAACACUCUGCUGAAUCUGCAUUCAUGACAACAAAAAAUCAGUUUGGGGCUCAAAGAUUCAACAGAUAUCCCGAGGCUAAGAAAAACACGCUUCAAUGCUCACACUGCAAGAAACCAGGGCACUCUGCUGACAAAUGUUAUAGAAUCAUAGGUUUUCCAGCAGAUUUUAAAUUUACCAAGAGUAAAAAGACUCAGUUUGGUACUGCUCAUGGACAUGCUGCAGUUGCUUCUGAAGCUGAAGGGAGUAAAUCAACUUCACAACAGCACAUCACUCAAGAACAAUACAACAACAUAUGUCAUCUUCUCCAGCAGUUUAAGUUUGAAUCUCCAGAAGAAUUGAGUUCUGAAGUCACAGUCACUGCCAAUUGUGCUGGUAUCCCUGAACACUCUGCUCUAAAAUCUGAUUCUAUUGUUUGGAUCCUUGACUCAGGAGCCUCUGAACAUAUGACUUGUGAUUUAAAUCUCUUGUUUAAUGUUAGGGCUCUUACUAAACCUGUUUUUGUCAACCUUCCUAAUUCACAAAGGGUAAAAGUUACACAGGCAGGAUGUGUAAACAUUUUUCCCAAUUUCACUAUCUCUAAUGUGUUGUUUCUCCCUAGUUUCAAGUACAAUCUAUUAUCAGUUCAUCGAUUCUGUCAACUAGGUGAUUCUAUUCUCAUUUUUUCUGCUUCUUGUGCUAUUUUGCAGGCCCCUUCAAUGAAGAGGCCAGUGGUUCUUGGUAGACAAAAGGAAGGACUCUAUCUACUUCACUCAUUCAAGCCUCGUACUAGUUCUUUAAGCAAAAUCAAGGACUCUUGUCCAAUGUCUUUCAUUUGUAGUAGUGAUCAGACUGUUUUUCCUAUUUCAUGCUCAGCAGUUGGUUCUUCUGAUGUAAUCCUCUGGCACAAUCGUUUGGGGCAUUUGCCCUUAUCUAAUAUGAGAAAUAUUCCCUCUAUUACUUGUUCAAAUUCAUCUUCUUUCCUUGAUCAUUGUGUUAUUUGUGCUAAAGCAAGACAAGUUAAAUUACCUUUCCAAUCUAGCACAAUAUCAACCACUGACAUCUUUGAACUAAUUCACAUUGACACUUGGGGGCCAUAUAAAGACUCUACACAUGAUGGUUUUAAGUAUUUUUUAACCAUUGUUGAUGAUUUUAGUAGAGGGACUUGGACUUAUCUCUUAAGUGCUAAGUCUAAUGCUUUUCCUGUCCUUAAAACAUUCUUAGCAAUGAUAGAGAGGCAAUUUUCCAGAAAAGUCAAAAAAAUUAGAUCAGAUAAUGCCCUAGAACUUGGGACUAGUUUGGAAGCCUCUCAGUUCUUUUCUUCACAGGGUAUUUUACAUCAAACUACUUGUGUCUACACCCCUCAACAAAAUGGAGUUGUUGAGAGAAAACACAAGCAUUUGUUGGAGACUUGUAGAGCCCUUUUAUAUCAAUCUAAUUUGCCUAUUUCUUUUUGGGGUGAGUGUCUAUUGACUGCAACUUUUCUUAUUAAUAGAUUUCCUUCUAAGACUCUCCAACACAAGAGCCCUUAUGAGAUUUUGUUUGGUACUCCACCUUCUUAUGAGAAUCUAAGAGCUUUCGGUUGUCUUGCCUAUGCUUGCACUCUACCUAUUCACAGAUCCAAAUUAGAUCCUAGGUCUAUUCCUUGUGUUUUCAUUGGAUAUCCAGCUGGAAAGAAAGGUUUCAAGCUCCUAAACCUCAAAUCAAUGCAAGUGUUUGUUUCUAGAAAUGUUAAAUUUCAUGAAGCUAUCUUUCCUUUCAUUUCCCAAACUGUAAAUCCUCUUUUCUUUCCUGUCCAUUCUCCUUCUUUCCAUGUUUCUGAUGAUUCUACCCUUCCAGUUCCUACUCCUCUAAUUUUUCCCUUUUCUGAUACUUUAACUUCUUCUUCUACUGGCCACUCUCCAUCUCCUACAUCUUUGGUGUCCCCAGAUCGAUCUCCUUCUCCUGUUGUUCCUACUACACUCAUUCCUACCAGAGCAUCUACUAGAGCACAUAAAACCCCUAGUUACUUGAAAGAUUAUAUUUGUAAUUCAGUCUUUCUUUCCCCUGUCAUUACAUCCUGUUUCUCUACUCCUAUUCAACCUUCUGUGCUUUCUUUUUCUGCUUUGUCCUCUACAAAUCAAGCCUUGCUCAACUCCACUUCCCAUAUCUCUGAACCUACUUCCUAUUCCCAGGCUUCACUUCAUCCUGGUUGGCAAAUGGCUAUGACUAAAGAAUUUGAAGCUUUAAAUUUAAACAAAACCUGGGAUGUUGUUAUGUUACCUGCAGGGAAAAAGGCCUUGCCCUGCAAAUGGGUCUACAAGGCAAAAUACAGGUCUGAUGGUGCUUUAGAGAGGUUAAAGGCUCGUUUGGUCGUUAGAGGUGAUAUACAAAGACAGGGUAUUGAUUUUACUGAAACUUUUUCACCCGUAGUCAAGAUGACUACUAUCAGGUGUAUCCUAGCAGUGGCAGUCAAGUUAGGUUGGGAUCUUUUCCAAUUGGACGUAGACAAUGCCUUCCUGCAUGGUGAUUUGCAGGAAGAGGUUUACAUGAAAUUCUCACCAGGGAUGUCAGCCCCUUCCCCCAACCAUGUUUGCUUAUUAAGGAAAUCGUUAUAUGGGUUACGCCAAGCAUCACGACAGUGGUAUGCUCGACUCACAGCUGCUUUGAGUUUUAAAGGCUAUUCUCAUUCUCUCAACGAUUAUUCCUUAUUUUUCAAAAGUUCAGGUGGUCUUAUCACUAUGCUAGCGGUAUAUGUUGACGACAUAUUGAUUACAGGCAAUGAUUUACCUGAACAACAACAACUUAAGAAUUUUCUUCAUGCUGAAUUUCGGAUUAAGGACCUUGGUAAAGCUCAUUUUUUUCUAGGCAUGGAAAUUAUUCGAGAACCUACUGGAUUGAUUCUGACUCAGAAGAAAUUUACCUUUGAAUUGCUUCAAGAGUUUGAUUGUUUUGGUCUCCGACCAGCUUCCGCUUCACUUGAUCCCACUCAGAAACUUUUCGCCGAUAAGGGUGAGCUUCUGUCGGAUCCAACUUUGUAUCGUCGGCUUUUAGGUAAACUCAACUUCUUGACCCACACCCGGCCGGAUCUCUCUUUCACUGUGCAACAUCUUUCUCAGUUUAUGCAGACCCCUCGUCAACCUCAUUUGAACGCUGUUUUCCACUGUCUCCGUUAUUUGCUCAAAGAACCCAAUUUGGGGCUUCUCAUGAAUGUUGAUCCAUGUCUUCAAUUAGUUGCUUUCUGUGACUCCGAUUGGGGGACUUGCCCUGAAUCUCGUCGUUCCGUUAGUGGAUAUUAUAUAAGUUUUGGAGGUUCUCCUGUUUCAUGGAAAUCAAAGAAACAAUCUUUAGUAUCUCUAUCAUCUGCUGAAGCAGAAUACAGAUCUAUGCGACGGGUAGUUGCUGAGAUUACCUGGUUGGUGCGAUUGUUCGCUGAUCUUUCCAUCACCCCAUCUCUUCCUGUCACUUUGCACUCCGAUAGCCAGGUUGCGAUUCAUAUCGCGAAUAACCCAGUUUUCCAUGAACGGACGAAGCACGUCGAACUCGACUGUCACUUCGUCCGGCAACAAUUUCUAGCUGGUCUCAUUUCCCUCUCAUAUCUACCCUCUCACUCUCAGCUCGCCGACGUUUUCACCAAGUCGUUAUCUGGUCCUUCUCAUAGAUCGAAUGUUCAUAAGUUGGGGGUUACUUCCUCUCCCUCCAACUUGAGGGGGGAUGUUGGUGAUGAAGAAGCUCAAACUCACGACAACAACGGAGGACAAAGGAAAGACAUAGUUUCAAAGUGUGAAGUGAACAAGGUUCAGACACAUUUAUUUCCUUUUAGACUUGUGCAUCACAACCGUCCAUCACAAGACAAUAAAAUUAAAUCAAGACCGUUGGUUCAAAGUUUGAUUGAGACACCUGGAUGAGCUGACUCAUCAUUUUGGAAGCUUCCACAAUAUUGAUAUUUCAAAUUAUCUGAUUUCUCUAUUUUUUGUAUAAAUUAAAAUUCUAUAUUAUCUAUAGGCUAGACAAAUAGGAUUUGUACAAGUGUCCUAGGCAUAACAGAUUUUGAUUCCUUUUUUACUGUAUUUAUACAUGUACAGCUUGAGAAGAAAUACACAGUGAGAAUUUCACAAUUCCUAUCGUUUUUUUUCUUCCAAGA
rnacentral:lncRNA from 1 species